AGAGUUUGAUCAUGGCUCAGAUUGAACGCUGGCGGCAGGCCUAACACAUGCAAGUCGAGCGGUAGCACAGAGAGCUUGCUCUCGGGUGACGAGCGGCGGACGGGUGAGUAAUGUCUGGGAAACUGCCUGAUGGAGGGGGAUAACUACUGGAAACGGUAGCUAAUACCGCAUAAUGUCGCAAGACCAAAGUGGGGGACCUUCGGGCCUCAUGCCAUCAGAUGUGCCCAGAUGGGAUUAGCUAGUAGGUGGGGUAACGGCUCACCUAGGCGACGAUCCCUAGCUGGUCUGAGAGGAUGACCAGCCACACUGGAACUGAGACACGGUCCAGACUCCUACGGGAGGCAGCAGUGGGGAAUAUUGCACAAUGGGCGCAAGCCUGAUGCAGCCAUGCCGCGUGUGUGAAGAAGGCCUUCGGGUUGUAAAGCACUUUCAGCGGGGAGGAAGGCGUUAAGGUUAAUAACCUUGGCGAUUGACGUUACCCGCAGAAGAAGCACCGGCUAACUCCGUGCCAGCAGCCGCGGUAAUACGGAGGGUGCAAGCGUUAAUCGGAAUUACUGGGCGUAAAGCGCACGCAGGCGGUCUGUCAAGUCGGAUGUGAAAUCCCCGGGCUCAACCUGGGAACUGCAUUCGAAACUGGCAGGCUAGAGUCUUGUAGAGGGGGGUAGAAUUCCAGGUGUAGCGGUGAAAUGCGUAGAGAUCUGGAGGAAUACCGGUGGCGAAGGCGGCCCCCUGGACAAAGACUGACGCUCAGGUGCGAAAGCGUGGGGAGCAAACAGGAUUAGAUACCCUGGUAGUCCACGCCGUAAACGAUGUCGAUUUGGAGGUUGUGCCCUUGAGGCGUGGCUUCCGGAGCUAACGCGUUAAAUCGACCGCCUGGGGAGUACGGCCGCAAGGUUAAAACUCAAAUGAAUUGACGGGGGCCCGCACAAGCGGUGGAGCAUGUGGUUUAAUUCGAUGCAACGCGAAGAACCUUACCUGGUCUUGACAUCCACAGAACUUAGCAGAGAUGCUUUGGUGCCUUCGGGAACUGUG
rnacentral:rRNA from 1 species